AUGGAACUUCAUGAGAGCUGUGGAAAACAGAAGAGACAGGUCCAUGUAGAGAUACUGAAAACACUGUGGGCCAUAUUCUGUCCAUGGGCAACCCUGCUGCCUUUAUUGUAUGAUGAAGGACAGAAUUCAGCUUACAGAAGGAAGAAAAGAUGAGAGAAAUCAGAGGAAAGGAAGUCAAAUGAGAGAGUCUUUCAAUUCGGGAAGAGCUUGGAAAGAUUCCAUAAUAUCCUGGUGCCCCAGCCCAA